UACGUAGGGUGCGAGCGUUGUCCGGAAUUACUGGGCGUAAAGCGUGCGUAGACGGCCAUCUAAGUCGGGUGUGAAAGCCCCGGGCUCAACCUGGGAAUUGCAUUCGAGACUGAAUAGCUAGGGUACGGUAGAGGGAAGUGGAAUUUCCGGUGUAGCGGUGAAAUGCGUAGAUAUCGGAAGGAACAUCAGUGGCGAAAGCGACUUCCUGGACCAGUACCGACGUUCAGGCACGAAAGCGUGGGGAGCAAACAGGA
rnacentral:rRNA from 1 species